CUUUUCCGAUUUGCCGACCUUUUCUUUUCUCUACUGUGUGAGUGGCUAUGCACGAGUGGUGACCAUUUUUGGAAGAGAAAGACACUCCCCAGCUCUCUCCCUUGUAUCCAGCUUCCAAGUAUCCCGCCAGUGGUGACCAUUUUUGCAGGAAAAAGACUCCUCCUUUCGGUGAAGCUAGGUUGGAGGGUUUCAACUGACCCAGUCUUAGUUUCAUUGAUCUCUGAGUUUUGGUAGUGGAAGGAUAACAAGAAAGCAAAAAUGGAUGUUGAUUCACAGCCAGCUAUGGAGGAAACUAUUCUGGUUGGUGAUGAUCUAAUGAUGGGGCUACCGUAACCCUUCAUUCCACCAGAAAUUGCCUCCCAUGUGCUUGAAGGAGUUGAUUUAUGUGAUGGGAUUUUGCAGAAUCUAUUUUUGUGCUUGCAAAUCAAUGAUAUUGAGCCUUUCUGUCAAGAUGAGAUUGCCGUGUAUCGACAAUGCGCUGAAAAAAGGGAUAAGGAGCUAAGACAACGACUUCAAGAUAGUGAGCACAAGUUGGGGUUAUCAAUGCCUCUAGAUGAAGCAAAGGAAAGAGCUUCUCAGCUUGAAUCAGAAGUUACAUCACUGGAGAGGCUCUUGAUUCUUGCUAGUGGAAUUGAAGGCAUGGAAGGAUUUCGCCAGAGAUGGAGCUUGCAUGGUCGCCUCACAGAUACCAAGAGAAGGCUGGAGUCUUUGAAACAGGGAAUGGAGAAUAAAAUUAAAGAUGAGCCUGUUAGAGGUUCAACUGCUAAAAGAUGGUCUUUUUGGUGAAGAUUCAAGAGGCAUAUCUUUCACAUGAUUCUGGGUGGACUUACUCUGCAGCCUUGAACAACAGUAUAUACACAAGCUAUUAGUAAGUUGAAUGUGUUUAGAGUCAGAGUUCUGCUUUUUGAUUUUUUGUCAUAAUAAGCUAUCUUUUCAAAGCUAUUGAAUUCCUUUUAUAUCAUUCAAGUCAGUAAUGUACUUAUGUUUUAUUGCUAAUUAAUGUAUAAAUAUCAUUUUAUUACUGUGAAAAGGGUUUGUCCUCAAAAGGCAUGAUGGAAAUGUGAAUAGCCAAUGUAGAUUAGCAAUUUUUUUGCUGAAGACAAUGGAGAUUUCAAUUAUUUCUUCCUUCCUUUGUUUCUCCAUGUGGAAUUGUAAGUAGACAUAGCUUGAGUGGCACUUUGCCUGUCGCUGGCAACAAGUGGAUCUCUUGUUCCUUCAAUGGACUGGACUUCAACACACAACAAUCAAAACAAAUAUUGAAUAGUAAGAACAAUUAUUUGGCUUAAAAA